GUUCCCUGAGAAGAUAUUGUUCUUGACAUACGAGGAAAUUAAGAAAGACACCGCUGCUCAUGUUAAGAAACUAGCUGAGUUCAUGGGUUGUUCUUUCACCUUAGAGGAAGAGGAGGAAGGGGAGGUGCAAGAGAUAAUAAGCAUGUGUAGUUUUGAGAAGUUGAGCAACUUGGAGGUGAAUAAAAAUGGGAAGCACCGUCUAGACACAUCAAUUGCUAUUCAAAAUAGUUUAUACUUCAGGAAAGGUGAGAUAGGCGACUGGGCAAAUCACUUGACACCUGAAAUGGGAGCGCGUCUAGAUGACAUAAUGGAGCGGAAGCUCAAGGGUUCAGGCUUGAAGCUGCCCAGGUGACCGUGCCUGGGGUCCCAUUUGCUUAUGAUUAUUGCCGAAGUGGGUUCAUCAAAAGAUGUUAUCAGCAUGUCGUGAAACAGCAACGUGUAUCCCAAUAAAUACCCUCUCUGUUCAUAGCAAGUAUUCACAUUUUGUGAAUCUUCCAUGUGAAUAAGCAAUAUUCUUUUGUGAAUCUGUGUUUGUGACUUUCAUUGAUUUCCUUGCAUGUUUGUAAGAAUUCAAAAUGGGAUUCGUUUUUUUUUUUUUUAACACAAGUGCAUGCAUUCCAUUCAUCAGUUUGAUAAAAAAUAAAUUUACUCUAAUAUAUAAUAUUAGAGUGUUUUCUUCACAGAAAUUGCAGUGUGUUUUUCUUCACAGCUAUACAUGUUUGAAAAGAACCGAGACAGCCAUACAUGAGGGCGGAGCAAAGACCAACCGAGACAACCAUCCAUUAAGAUUGUUGAAUUGCAGAUCAAAUGAACGUAGGAGAACUCGUGUUUUCCACUCCUAAAAUAAGCCCAGUUGCCGGCUUCAUUUGCAACAGAGACACAUAAAGAAUCUGAAAGCAGUUUUUAUGCACUAUCAGCAAAAUAAUUUGACCAGUCAGAAUGAUGUUUUCCCCCUUACUAGGCUCAGAUCACAAUCCUUCUUACUUCAAACAAGUCUUUUGGAACCGAUAUGUCGAGGGAUGGCUUGAUUUAUACCGGAGAUUUUGAUGGAAACUUAAAGAAGCGUGGCUUAAUUAUACCUUGGAUGCGCAAAUUGAUUACAGGGAAAAAAUGACAGAAAGUGAGUUGCAGGGAAUGAAAAAGGCAUUAGUAAACUCAACACCUUUCAGGGCAUCGUUCCUUGGUUUACUCCCUUCUAUUUCUUAUUUUGUUUUUCCUGCCAUUGUCUAAUGUUUUUCUAACUCGCAGUCUGGUCUCUGCAGAGAAUGAGAAAGCAAAAACUCUUUAAGAGAAGAUAUUCUCCGGCGAUGGCAUCAACUAAGUGCGUGUUUGGCGCUCCGGCUAUGUUUACAGAAAAAACAUCGUGGUCAUGUUUUUGGUUACAGUCUAAACAUAAUUAUCUGUUUGUGGACCCGUUAUCAUUUGCUUUUAAACCGCAAGAUAACCAAAAACAACUUCAAGCUGCCUUCUGUGUUGAGUUGCAAACUUUAUAAACAAAGGCCACAAGAAAAAGAGCAGAAACAUAGCAGUGAAUAAUGAACAGUGGAGAGCAGCUCCCUCUGACCACCGGCAUCCGCCGUUUUCACCGCCAACCACUGCUCAUCCUCUUCCCCUUCUCUUUCUCCUUCUUCUUUGUCUUCUGCAUUGUCCACUGUUCACGUUGCAUGUGAACAGUGGAGAGCAGCUCACCACCGGCCUCCGCUGUUUCUACCGCCAGUCACUGCUCUUCCUCUUCCCCUUCCCCUUCCCCUUCUUCUUCUACAUUCUCCACUGUUCACGUGAACAGUGGAGAGCGUCUCCACUAUUCAUGGCCGGAUUGGGUCUGGCCCAAACCUAAAUGCAUUGGACCGGGUCCAACCUAAAUGCAUUGGACCGGGUCCAAUCAAGUAAAAUAAAAAAAUCUAAAAAUAUUUCUUAGAUAUUGUGUUUUAUUUGAAAAACUAGUGUUUAAAAUUAUUCAAUGACACUACAUAAUUAUAUUAGAAGGAGAUCGCAUGAUGACGUAGCAUUUGCAGAAUUUGAUUGCAAUCCCAAUUUUAUUCCUAAUGAUAUUUUACCUGAUGUGAUGAUAUUUUACCUGAUGUUGGUGCACGUUCAAGAAGCCAUGAAAACUGUAGUUUUUGUCGGAUGGAUUUCGUACGUGAUUGAAUUGCAAAUAAUUUAAUGAAACAAUAAAAAAUACUUUAUAUAAAGUAUUAUUUAUUUCAUGAUGUAAUAGCAGUAGUUAAAUCUAUAAUAUUCCAAUUAAAAACCAUCAAUAUUAAUAUAUAUAUGUUUUUUUUAAUUAUUUUAUAACCUCAAUUUGAAAAACAUUCUUUAAACCAAACACAUUAAACUACUUUUUGUUCAACCUCAAUUUCAACCACAAUUUUAACCAAAUAUAUAUUUUUUCAAAUCAACCUCAACUAAAAAUACUUUGUAUAAAACAACUUUUUUAAACUACAAUCAUAACAGGUAUCACAAUACCAAAGACACACAAAGCUGUACUGAUAAGCAAGUUAAAGUGCCACCAUUGAUUUAGGAUCUGCUUUAUAUCUUAUAAGGUGAAAGUAAAACACAAGGAAAUGCAUGCAUGCACACCACUAAUCUUUGAUUCUGGCGAGAACAGUGAUGACUACACACACAACCAUAUAGAAUUACAUUCCAAGAUGAAGAAAUUAAUAACAGAGCAGUGCUAUAAAGCUAAAUGGGAGAACCAGAGAUUAAUAAGCAAUGCUGAAAAUUUUAUCAUGCAUAAGAUGAGAGAAGCAUAGGACAUAUUUUAUCAAAUCUAUAGUUUUUCUUUAAUAAUAAUAAUAUUUUUAAAAAAUUUAAUAAUAAUAAUAAUAAUAAUAAAAACUCAUGUUCUUUGAUUCUGACUUCCCUUACCAGACUGAAGUUACCACAGUCAGACCCAAGUAACUUAGGUGUGACGCUCCUGUUAGACUCAAGUUAUUUGGGUAUGAUAUCUCAUGCUGGACUCAUAGUAUUCAAGAUCAAAGGUGUUGAUAUCUAACAAUCAUACCUCACCCAAGCCCUAAGAUGUGAUUGCUUUUCUAGACCAGAGCGCAAGGCACCAAGACACUAAGAUACUAUUCACCAUAAGUCAAGUCAAUGAACCAAUUAAUUGAUUUUAAAGAUCAAGUUUUUUUUUUAAAUAGAGAAACAAAACUUUUAUUAACAUUGAAAUAACUCCUAAAAUUUUAAUAAAAUUAAUUUGAAGUAAAAAUAAUAUUAGAAAAAUAUUUAGAAGCACUUUUUUAUUGUAAAAUCAAACACACUAAAAUCAUGUAGAUUUUCAUUUAGACACUAAAAUUCAAGAAGAAAUUAAGUUCACACAGUACUAUUAAUUCAAUCGAUGAAGGAUUAGUCCCAACUACUUUAGGGCCACCAUUGACAUUGAUUACUUUGAAUAAUUUUAAUUUAUAGGCAUAAAAAAUUAAUACAUAUCUUUAAGAGGAUCAAUUUUAGAUUCUCUCUCUCUCUCUCUCUAUUUUUUUUUUGGUUUUCAAAUAUUUGACAUUUUCGUUUAGAUAAGCUCUAGUGUGUGUUUUUUUUAGAUUAUUUUAAAUCAUGUUUCUUGAAAUGUCAAAAACAUUUCAUGGAUUAAUUUAACUUAAUAACGCCAAAGAAUUAGGAAUUAAAACUGAUAAUUUCCACCAAGUAAGAGUACCUAAUUGAAAAUUUACUUUCUUAUCAUUUACCUCAAUUAAGCGGAAGCAUGAUCAUGAGAAGGGAUUUGGGAGGCACUUAGAUUAGGCUCUUCUCUAGUCUUGAGAAGCAGAACCAAUAGAGACGUGAUUGCGCACUCCCUGAGCUAUAUAGUAAGUGGCUGCAAACAAAUUGUCAGCACCAAUUCAGGUCCGGAAAAUUAAAGCAUUGAAGCAUAAAAGGUGACCUAACCUGAUUAAGCAAAUUACUACUUAUUCCAGCAUCACCUAGGAGUGAGACAGCCAGCCCUCCAGUGUCUACAUGGUAUGGGAAUAAUUCCUUCAAGAACGCAGAGAAAAUUAUACUUGCAAUACAACUAUAAACGAGAUGGUACAGUGCGGAAGGCUAUAAACGAGAUGGUACAGUGUGGAAGGCAAGAUGUUAAAUAUGAUCAGGACAAAAAAAUAAAUAAAGAAAGAAAGAGUGUUUAUUUCACAAUGAUCGAUAUGAUGCUUCUUUCCAUGUGGAAUCUUCGUCAAAGACUUGUUGAAAAUGCCAAAUUGUGAUCCACUUUUGGCUGUGUCAAAUGCAUGGGUGGGGUUUCACACAGAGCUAUUACCCCUUGUGUAAACUCAACGCCAGUUUUCAUGAGUUCUUUGGGAUUCUAACAUAGUAAAAAAAAAUGAUAAAAUAACGAAGUGUAAAGAAUAUGUAGUGAAAUAGAUAUUUGUAAUUAAUCAGUUGCAAUUAUUAUAUGCUCGCUCUCUCAGAUUUACUGGACAGAAGAUUUAUUAAAAAGAGAUGAGAAAAUAAUUAAAAGAGAAAGAAAAGAAAAAAAAAACUUCAAGGUAUAUCAAAACUCUGAUAAUAAUAUUAUUGGUAUUGUUGAAACAAAUCUAAAAAUAUCAAUAAAGAUCACCAAUAAUGAUCAUAGUAGGUCAUACGAGUGACCGAGAUAAAUGAGUCUCAAUACUUUUAAACAGCUCGUAUAAUCUAUUUUAUUUAUUAUUUAUUUUUUUUUAUGUUGUUAAAUUCAUCUUAUAAUGAUGCCGAUAAUGUUAUCAUUAUAAUUUCAAUGUAUUUCUAUUAUUAUUAUUUUUUGUUUUGCUCUCUCUCCUCUCUUUCCUUAUAAUUUAUGAAGAGUUAGAGAGGGGAAAAAAAAACCCUAGUCUUCCACUUUAAUCUGGCUGAAUACUAUAUUUUUCCUUAAUUAUUCACUACUUUGUCAAUGCAAACUAUAUUUUUCCUUAAAUAAGAUCUAAUCCACCAGCGGAUAGGUGAUCAAGAAUAUUAAAUUAGUGUAAAACUUGAUUUAAUUCAACAUUAUAAAUUCGAGGUGCUAUAAUAAUGUGAAAAAAAAGAAUAAAAAAACUAGAUUCAUCAUCAUCAUUAUUAUAUUAGUAUAAUAAUGUUUGUCACUUUGUUGUAUUAUUUUUUAAUUGUUUAGUUGUUUACUAUAUGUUAAAAUUUCAAGAUCUUCAAAGAUUGGUAAGAUCUUAAGGAUCUAGAGUUACUAUGGGACCGUCUUUAUUUUCCUAUUUGGAUUUUUUUUAUUUAUAUUAAGAAUUUAAAUUUAAUUAGUAUUUUAUUAUUUAAAAAUUCUAACGGUAAAUUGAUUCUAUUAGUCAGGCUAAUUUUAAGUAUAAAUUAUUUUUUUAUACAAAAUUUUAAAUUUAGAAUUAAUAUAAAUAAAAAUGUUUAGUUUAUUUUUUAAAGUGUUUUUGUUUAAAAAUACAUCAAAAUAAUAUAUUUUUAAAUUUUUUUUAUUAUUCAUCUUUUACAUCAAAACAUUUAAAAAACAUAAAAAAAAACAAUUAGAAAACGCAAGAUUGCAUCAAUGCUAAAUGCAAUCUCUCUCUCUCUCUCUCUCUCUCUCUCUCUCUCACACACACACACACACACACACACACACACACACACACGAUCCACCUCUGGUGUCAAAUGCAUAGUGAUGUUCCACAGCGAGCCACUAUCUAUUAUGUAAAAUCUCAACAAGUGAGAAAUGUCAUAGAUCAUUUGGUCUAAUUUACGGGGACAGAGUUGUGGAGUUGGGGGCUGUAAAUAUUCCUCAAAAGAUCGAGUCUUAAGGUCUCGGAACUAUUAUAUGACGGGGGAUAAAAAAACAAAUACUACGAGGGUCGAAAUAAAUAUUUUUUACUGGUUGAUGGUAUCCACAAAUGCUACGAGCAAUAAUAAAAUUUUUUGGAUUGAAUAAUCAGUUAAUUAAUUAGUUUUAAUAAUUUUUUUUAUUUUUCUUAACUAAAGUGGUUAAAAGCGCUUAUAUUUAUCAUUGAUAGGUCAAAGCUACUCGUUAAUACAUUUAAAAGAUUUUUUUUGAUGGAGGUAAAGACUUUCCGAUAUUUAAAUAAAUAAUUUUUUAGAAAGAAAAAAUAAAUGAAUAUUCUAUAGAGAGAUACUCUGAAAAUACAAAUGCACAAGAGAAUUGGAGAUUGUGAACCUUUGUUCUGAAGAUUUUAUGAUGUAUUUAUAACUUAUAAGUUUUGUCCUUUUGUGAAAAUAAGGGUUUGGAGUGUAAUUACCCUGAUAACAUUUAAUGAGGAAUAAAUAUCCCUUGCAUAAUGGGAAUAUGGUGGGUCCUCGAAUGGUUUUUAUACACCUAAAAAGCUAUAGGGAGAUUAGAGUUUAAGACGUCAAGUGUAGCUGAGCCUAUAGAGAUCAAGUUCUUUCCUGAGAUUAGAUCGAAGAGAGGUUGGUCAUUCUCCUAGAUAUGCCAAUGGAGAAUGAUCAAUAUUUUGGACUUGGUUGGCUGCAAAAUCCAAGUACCUUGAGCCUGAUAUGCGUGUCAAAUCCACCCUAUCUUGAAAUUGGAGCACUACCAAGUCCUAGCGCCUUGGAUCUGACAUGCAUGCCAGAUCCAUGCUACGUUGGACUUGGUGCACUAUCAAGUCCAAACACCUUGGGUCUAGUGUGCGUGUUAGACCCACAUUAUAUUGGGUUUGACGCAUUACUAUACAUGUCCAAGCACCUUGAACUUGAUUGAUUGUCAAGUCCAUGCAUUAUAGAUUUGAUAUAUGUGUCAGAUCCAUAUUACCUUAAGCUUGACGCACUAUUAAGUUAAAGUGUCUUGAAUUUAGAAUUUCUCAGGAUCCAUAAAUUUUAAAGAACCAAACAAAAACUAAAUAAAAAAUUGACUCAUCACUAAUCUAUAAAUACUAUCUACAUAAUGGCCUUAGUUGAUAACUUCUACCACCCACUGCACUUACUUCAAUAAUGAAAAAUAUUUUUUCCUUUUAAUGGAAAAGACAUUUUAACUCCAUCUUCAAUUACUUUACAUAAAUGUUUCCUUCUUUUUUAGAUAUUGGGUUUAGAAAACACAAUCAUGCUAAAAAUUUAUUAUCAACUAUAAAAUGUAUUUUUUUUAUAUUUUAUAUAUAUUUUUUAAUUAUUUUUUAUAUUUUCAUAUUGUUUUGAUGUGCUAAUAUUAAAAUUAAAUUUUUAAAAAUAAAAAAUAUUAUUUUAAUAUAUUUUUAAAUUAAAAAUAUUUUAAAAAAUAACCGCUAACACAAUAACAAACAAGAUUUAAAUAAAAAAAAUUAUAAUUACAUCAGCAAUCAAGAAUACUAAAAUAGUGUAAAUUUUGACUUAAUUCAAUUAUGAGAAUUGGGGGCAGCGUAACAAUUUGAAAUAAAAUGGCAGAAAAGGAGGGCAAACAGUACAAAUACCUUGAAUAAUGGUGACCAAAUAUUUGUAAUUUGAGACAUCUCGUUCUCGCAAGGAAAUAGUUAAGAGUGCCAAUAAUUAAUCUGCUCUCAACUUGCUUCAAAUAGCUGCCAUGUCCACAUAUUCAAGAAACAAAUAUUUCCACUAAAGGUUUAUAUGGUCGUUAAUUUCAGGAUCUGUGGGAUUAGUCGAGCUGCGCGCAAGCUAACCCGAACACCCACAUUAAACUAAAAAAAAAAAUAUUUUUUACUAGUCUAGAAAUGCUAUCUCCUAAAUUGUUUAUUGUUCUAUGAUUCAACCAUCCUGUUUUUUAUAAAAAUAUUGAUUUUUUCAUAAAUUUUUUUAGUAUUUUUAAAUUAUUUUAAUGUAUAAAUAUAAAAAUAAUUUUUAAAAACUUUAUUUUAAUAUAUAUAUUUUAAAAAUUUCUUUAAAAAAUAAUUAUCACCGCAUUUCCAAACUUCACAUCCCUGUAUUAAUGGAUUGUGUUGUCCCUGUAUUAAUGGAUUGUGUUGUGGGCUCCACGCCAUUUAAAGCUUGUGAGAGAAACUACACCUAUAAACUGAAACCACACGAUAACACUAAAGAUUUGCUAAUUCGGGAGUGUUUGUUUUUAUAUAUAAAAGUAUUUUUAAAAAAAGUUAAUUUUUUAAAAUUAAUUUUUUAAUAGUUUUAUAUUAUUUUAAUGUAUUAAUAUUAAAAAUAAUUUUUAAAAUAUAAAUUUUUUAUUUAAUAUAUUUUUUUUAAAAUAUAAAAAUACUCUUGAAAACAGCGGUUAUAAAAUACUCUUAAAAAAUAAAUAAAAAUACUCUUGAAAACAGCGGCUAUAACCUUCCCAAACUUCACAUCCCCAAAUUAUUAAGAGGCCGUUUGUUUGCGUGGUUGCUUCUGCGUUUGAAGCAACCACAGCAAACAUAAUGUUUGGUAAUAUUAAAAAUGCUAAAAAUGACCGGUGGGACCCAUGCCAAUUCACGUUUUGAACGCGACAUUGGUGAAGCAGCUCGUGACUGCUUUUUUAAAUUUUGUAUUUGCGUGCACAGUGCAAUUCACUUGCACUGUGCACGCCAACAGUGUAAUUCACUUGCAUUGUUCGGGUGAUUUUUUUUAUUUUUUUAUUUAGUGUGUAUAGUUUUUUUAUAUAUAUUUUUUAAAAAAACUAGUUUUACAUUGUCAUGUAAACAAUAUUUUUUUUCCCGAAAAACUAGUAUAGAGCGAAUUAAAUUCACUCGCACUGUAAUAUCAAAUUAAUUUUAUUCCUAAUAAUAUUUUAUCUAAUUUUAUUGCAUGCUCAAAAAAUUAUAGAAACUGUAGUUCUUGUCGAAUGAAUUUUGUACGUAAUGGAAUUGUAGAUGGUUUAAUGGCAUAAUAAAAAAUAUUUUAUAUAAAGUAUUAUUUAUUUCAUGAAGUAAUAGUAAUAGUUAAAUCUACAAUAUUUAAAUUAAAAAUCAUCAAUUUUAAUAUAUAUUUUUUAAAAUUAUUUUAUAACUUUAAUUUCAAAAGCAUUCUUAACCAAACAUAUUAAACUACUUUUUAUUUAACCUCAAUUUCAACCACAAUUUUAACCAAACACCUAUUUUUUCAAACCAACCUCAAUUAAAAGUACUUUUUAUAAAAUAACUUUUUUCAAACCACAACUACAACAGCUACAGCAAUACCAAACACACUCUAAAUUGCAGACGUUUGGCAGUGUGUUCAAAAACAUAUUUUUAAAAAAAAUUGAUUUUUUUUAUUUUAAAUUAAUAUAUUUUUAAUAUUUUUAAAUUAUUUUGAUGUAAAUCUUAAAAAUAAUUUUUAAAAACUAAAAAAAUAUUAUUAACAUAUUUUUUUAAAUAAAAAAUAUUUUAAAAAAUAACCUCAGCUAUUCACACACAGCCGGAAAGAAGAGAAACCACACAAUCACGCUAAAGAUUUGCUAUCGAAUAUAAUAUGACAUAAAACCCAAUUGCAUCAGCGGGCAUGUGAUCAAUAAUAUUAAAAUAAGGUAAUAGUUGAUGGGGCCACAAAUUAAACCAGCUCUCAACUCGCUACAAAUAGCUGCAAUGGCCUUUCAUUCUACGUUAUAUUUUCAUUUUUUACUUUCAUGGAAUCCUCUUUGCCUUCCACCCAAAUCUUGGAUUCUGGUGACAGUGCAGAGAGGAAAAAUGAAGCUAAAAAUUACAAUGAAGUGAUGUCCACCUUUCCGAAAGUUAAAGGCUUGAAUGGGUAUGAUUAUUACCUGUACCAAGGCUUUUGGUACGCUCCCUUCUUCUUGGAAGGACUCAUGUCUGUUCAAGAGGGCUUCAAUCCUCAAUCCACUGAUAUAUUUGUCGCCAGUUUUCCAAAAACUGGCACAACUUGGCUUAAGGCCCUCACUUUUGCUAUUGUCACACGAUCCCGUUUAAGUGGUUCAACAACUAGUUCUUUACUUACCAAGAUGCCACAUGACUGUGUUCCUUUUUUGGAAUAUGACCUUGCUCAAAACCCCAGUAAUCGGGACUUGGCAAUUCCUCUGGUAUCUACUCAUGUUCCUUACACUUGUUUACCUAAAUCUAUCAUUUCUUCUAGUUGCAAGAUUAUUUACAUUUGCAGGGACGCAAAGGAUGCUUUUGUUUCUUUGUGGUACUUUCUUGCCAGGCUGCAAAUGUCGAAAAAUGUUGAACCUCUUCCUCUGGAAGGGGCAUUUGAGUUGUUUUGCAAUGGAAUUGCAAAUUUUGGACCAUAUUGGGACCAUGUUUUAGGGUAUUGGAGAGCAAGCUUCGAGUUCCCUGAGAAGAUAUUGUUCUUGACAUAUGAGGAAAUGAAGCAAGACACAGCUGCUCAUGUUAAGAAAUUAGCUGAGUUCAUGGGUUGUUCUUUCACCUUAGAGGAAGAGGAGGGAGGGGAGGUGCAAAAGAUAAUAAGCAUGUGUAGUUUUGAGAAGUUGAGCAGCUUGGAGGUCAAUAAAAAUGGGAAGCACCGUCCGGACACAUCACUUGCUAUUCAAAACAGUGUAUACUUCAGGAGAGGUGAGAUAGGCGACUGGGCAAAUCACUUGACACCUGAAAUGGGAGCACGUCUAGAUGACAUAAUGGAGCAGAAACUCAAGGGUUCAGGCUUGAAGCUGCCCAGGUGACUGUGCCUAGGGUCCCAUUUGCUUAUGAUUAUUGCCCAAGCGGGUUCAUCAAAAGCUGUUAUCAACAUCUCGUGAAACAGAAACUGUGUAUCCCAAUAAAUACCCUCUUUGUUCAUCUCUUGUAUUUCCUAUCAAGUAUUCACAUUUUGUGAAUCAUCCAUGUCAAUAAGCAAUGUUCUUUUGUGAAUCUGUGUUUGUGACUUUCAUUGAUUUCCUUGCAUGCUUGUAAGAAUUCAAAAUGGGAUUCGUUUUUUUAUUUAUUUAUUUAACACAAGUGCAUGCAUUCCAUUAAUCAGUUGGAUAAAAAAUAAAUUUACUCUAAUAUAUAAUAUUAGAGUGUUUUCUUCACAGAAAUUGCAGUGUGUUUUCUUCACAGUUAUACAUGUUUUAAAAGAACCGAGACAACCCAUACAUGAGGGCGGAGCAAAGACCAACCGAGACAACCAUCCAUUAAGAUUGUUGAAUUGCAGAUCAAAUGAACGUAGGCGGCACAUCUGCUGGAAGGAUCUCGAAAUGCCUUGUAAUUGGUUAAAAUAAAGAUCAAGAUCUGUAGGAGAACUCGUGUUUUCCACUCCUAAAAUAAGCCCAGUUGCCGGCUUCAUGUGCAACAGAGGCACAUAGAGAAUCUGAAAGCAGUUUUUAUGCACUAUCAGCAGAAUAAUUUGAUCAGUCAGAAUGAAAACCCCCCCCCCCAGGCUCACAAAUCUUCUUACUUCAAACAAAUCUUUUGGAACCGAUAUAUAUGUCGAGUGAUGGCUUGAUUUAUACCGGAGAUUGUGUUGGAAAAUUAAAGAAGCAUGGCUUAAUUUGUACCUUGGAUGCGCAAAUUGAUUACAGGGAAAAAAUGACAGAAAGUGAGUUGCAGGGAAUGAAAAAGGCAUUAGUAAACUCAACACCUUUCAGGGUAUCGUUCCUUGGUUUGCUCCCUUUUAUUUCUUAUUUUGUUUUUCCUGCCAUUGUCUAAUGUUUUUCUAACUCGCAGUCUGGUCUCUGCAGAGAAUGAGAAAGCACAAACUCUUUAAGAGAAGAUAUUCUCCGGCAAUGGCAUCAAACAGAAAAGUCCGACGUCAACUAAGUGAGUGUAUAGCGUUGCUGCUGUGUUUACAGAAAAACACCAUUGUCAUGUGUUUGGUUACGGUCUAAACAUAAUUUUUUAUCGGUGAGACCCAUUACCAUUUGCAUUUAAACCGCAAGAUAACCAGAAGCAACUUUAAGCUGCGUUUUGUUUUGAGUUGCAAAUUGUGUUAUAAAUAGAGGCCACAAGAAAAAGAGCAGAAACAGAGCAGUGAAUAGUGAUUAGUGGAGAGCAACUCCCUCUCACCACUGACCUCCGCCAGCCACUGCUUUUUCUCUUCUCCUUCUCUUCUCGUUCUCCUUCGUCUUCUGCAUUCUCUACUGUUCACGUGAACAAUGGAGAGUGGAGAGCAGCUCACCAUCAACCCCUGCUGUUUCCACCGCCAGCCACUGCUCUUCCUCUUCCCCUUCUCCUUCGUCUUUUACGUUCUCCACUGUUAAUGUGAACAGUGGAGAGCAGCUCACCACCGGCCUUCACUAUUUCCACUGCCAGCCACUGCUCUUCCUCUUCCCCUUCCCCUUCUCCUUCCCCUUCUCCUUCUCAUUCAUCUUCUGCAUUCUCCACUGUUCAUGGCCGGACUGGGCCUAGCCCAAACCUAAAUGUAUUUGACUGGGUCCGACCCAGUAAAAUAAAAAAAAAUCCAAAUUUUUUUUCUUAAAUAUUGUGUUUUAUUUGAAAAACUAGUGUUUAAAAUUAUUCAAUGACACUACAUAAUUAUAUUAGAAGGAGAUCGCACGAUGACGUAGCAUGUGCAGAAUUUGAUUGCAAUCCUAAUUUUUUUCCUAAUGAUAUUUUACAUGAUGUAAUGAUAUCUUACCUGAUGUUGGUGCAAGUUCAGGAAGCCAUGGAAACUGUAGUUCUUGUCGGAUGGAUUUCGUAUAUGAUUGAAUUGCAAAUAGUUUAAUGGAACAAUAAAAAAUACUUUAUAUAAAGUAUUGUUUAUUUCAUGAUGUAAUAGCAGUAGUUAAAUCUAUAAUAUUUCAAUUAAAAACCAUCAAUAUUAAUAUAUGUCUUUUUUAGUUAUUUUAUAACCUCAAUUUGAAAAGUAUUCUUUAACCAAACACAUUAAACUACUUUUUGUUCAACCUCAAUUUCAACCACAGUUUUAACCAAACAUAUAUUUUUCCAAACUAAUCUAAACUAAAAGUAUUUUUUAUAAAAACAAUUUUUUUCAAACCACAACAGCUACCACAAUACCAAACACACACAAAAAAAACUGUACUGAUAAGUAAGUUACAAUGCCACCACUGAUUUAGGAUCUGCUUUAGAUCUUAUAAGGUGAAAGUUGAAAGCUAGCAAGAAUCGUCACAGAGAUGAACAGAGAAGUGAAUAGAAUUAGAGGGAGAUACUGCAAUGCAGAGGAAGAAGAAAAACAUUUCUGUGUAUAUUCACUUAUAUUUUUUUACCAGCGCUGUUACAUUCAUUUUAUAUGAACCAAGAUGAGAAGCUUGUUUACGUAAUCUAAUCAACAGUAACAGACUUUGUUAACUGUCUAACAAUAUUAACAAACUUUCUAACCAUUGUAUUCUCUAUUCUCUUGACAGGUGGCAGAAGCAGAGCCUUUGAUAUCUUGACAUUCCCCCUCAAUCACAAGCGUGAAGGAACCAAGCAUAAGAUUGGAACAGUGACGCCGAAAUAAAGGAGUGGAAAGACCUUUAGUUAGGAUAUUAGCAAAUUGAUCGGUAGAAGAGACAUGUUGAACCAACAAAUCACCUUUGACAACACGUUCUCAAACAAAAUGAUAAUCAAUUUGGAGAUGCUUCAUUCUGGAAUGGAAGACUGGAUUGGAAGCAAGGGAAAUAGUUGAGAUAUUGUCAUAAUGAAUUAACGGAGGGAUAUGUAAAGGAAUGUGAAUGUCACAGAGCAGUUGGCGAAUCCAGGCAAGUUUGGCAGCAGCAAUUGCUAGAGCCCGAUACUCAACCUCAGUAGAUGAUCGAGAAACAAUAUGUUGUUUCUUAGAAGCCCAAGAAAUAGGACUGGAGCCGAGGAAAACAAUAGAGCCAGAGACAGAACGUCGAUCAUUGGGAUCGCCAACCCAGUCAGCAUCACUAUAAGCUUGUCGAUUAAGAAGACUAGGCUGAAAAUGAAGGCCAAAAUCAAGGGUACCUUUAAGAUACCGCAAGAUUCUUUUGACAGCCACAACAUAAGAAUGCAUGGGAUUAUGCAUAAAUUGACAAGCUCGGUUCAUAGAGAAAGCAAUAUCGAGCCUGGUGAACGUGAGAUACUGCAAUGCGCCAACUAUGCUCCGAUAUUGUUGUGGAUGAGAGUAGGCUUAGCCAUCAUCUUUGAGCAAAUGAUGAUGAGGAAGACAAGAAGUAUCAAAUGAUUUGGAAUUUUGUAAAUCAACUCUAGCAAGUAAGUCUGUGAUAUAACUUAUCUAGGACACAAACAAACCAGAAGGGAGAUAAGAGAUUUGCAAUCCCAAAAAAUAAUUCAACUUACCGGUAUCCUUCAUAUCAAAUUUCUGAGUCAAGGCAGCAAUGACUGAAGAAAGAAGAGAAUAAUGACUGCUAGUAAGAAUGAUAUCAUCUAAAUAGAGUAGCAAUAUCACAACACUAAGAGAAGAAUGCUGAACAAACAAAGAGGGAUCGACAAGAGAUGCUUGAAACCCCAAACAUGGUAAAAAAACUGGUAAAACGUUCAUUCCAGGCACGAGGAGCCUGUUUAAGGCCAUACAAGGACUUUCUUAGUCUGCAAACAAAGUUAGCAGGAUAAAGCUUACUCAUAAAACCUUGGGGUUGAGUCAUAUAAACCUCCUCAUGAAGAAUACCAUGCAAAAAGGCAUUGGUAACGUCAAGCUACCGUAAGGACCAGUUAAACUGAGCUGCAAGAGUAAGAAUUAAACGAACCAUAGUAGGUUUUAUGACAGGACUGAAAGUUUCAUUAUAGUCAAUUCCUUCCUCUUGAAUGAAACCCUUAGCCACCAAUCGAGCUUUAUGCCUAGCUAUAGAACCAUCCGCAUGCUUCUUGAGUCGGUAGACCCAUUUACAGCCAACAAGAUUCUUAGCAGGUGGGAGAGGCACCAAAUCCUAAGUACCUUAUGCAUGAAGAGCAUCAAUUUCCUCCCACAUAGCAGACUGCCAUUCUGGAAAGGUUGAAGCAGCCUUGAAGGAACUGGGUUCAACCUGAGAAAAAGCAACAGACUAUACAGAGGUAAAGUAAGCCUUUCUUUUGGAAAUACCAUUCUUAAACCUGAUGGUCAUUGGAUGAAGAUUCAUCGGUGAAAGAGGUAAGACCACACACAGAUUCUCAGGUUGGAAGUCAGGAUCAAAUCUAGUGACAAAGAAGCGAUUGGUUUGAAUAAAAAAACAGAAAUACCCUUUAUACUGACCAGCAUACCCCAGAAAAAUACAAGUGGAAGUUUUGGGCUGAAGUUUGUUAGUAUUAUAAGGCUUGAGUAAAGGAAAACAAGCACAACCAAAAAUCCACAAAUGAGUAAUGACCAGUGGAGAACCAUAUAACAGGAAAUAAGGUGAUUUGAGUUGAAGAAUUUGACAGGGCAUUCUAUUAAUCAAAUAAAUAGAAGUAGCACAAGCACGAAACCAAAAUUUUGGAGGUAAAUGGGCAGUUUGUAACAGAGUGAUGGCUGUUUCUAAAAUAUACCUAUGUUUGCGCUCAGCAAGGCCAUUCUGUUUCGGAGUAUAGGGACAGGACAUUUGAUGGACAAUACCCUUGGUAAAGAGGUAAUGUUUGAAUUUAGUACUAAGAUACUCACCACCCCCAUCACUUUGAAAGACUCGAAGAGUAGCAGAAAAUUGAGCAACUAAAAAGGUAUGAAAGUAGGCAAAAAUGGAAUAAACCUCUCCUUUAUUGAUCAUCAGAAAAAACCAAGUAAAUCGAGUACAUUCAUCAAUGAAACUAACAUAAUAUCUGAAACCUUCAACAGAUACAGUGGGAGAAGAACCCCAAACAUCACUAUGUAUGACCUCUCAAGGUUUAACAAAUUUAACUGCGGGAUAGGGAAAAGGAAGUUUAGCAAGUUUACCCUCUAAAAAAGUGGUACAAACGAAUUUGGAUGUGUUUGAAGUGAAAGAAAUCUGGGAUUGAUUUAACAGAGUAGAGGUGACUAUGUUAGAGGGAUGACCAAAACGCUUGUGCCAGAGACUUGUGUUGACCUGUUUACCAAGAUAGCAAACUUGAUUAUUUUGAAAGAGAGAUUAUGAAGGAAACGAAAUGGAGAAAGGAAUAGGAUAUAACCCAGCUCUACACAGUCCCUUGAGAAGGACAUUUCCCAUGAAUUUGUCCUGAAUCCAAAAACCAAAAUCAUCACAAAUAAAUCGACAGUUGUUAUCUUUACACAACUUAUGAACCGAUAAUAAGUGUUGAGAUAGCUUAGGCACAUGCAAAACUUGCUUUAAUUGUAAUGAGCAUUGAUGAACAUCUAAAAUAAAAGAACCAAUAUUAGAAAUGGUCAAACUUGAACCUCCUGUAGUGGUAACAGUAUCAGAUCCUGAGAAAGGUGUAGCCAGAUUGAGUUGAGCCAAAUCAGAAGUCAUAUGUGUUGUGGUGCCAUUAUCAGCCAGCCAUAAUUGUUCAGGAGGGGAAGAAGAUGGAAAAUUGGCAUGCAUAGCACUAAGAUUACUGGAGGGAGGCCUGCCUUGAUAGCUGAAAUUACCUCUAUGAUAACAUUGAACGGCAGAGUGCCCAAAUUUUCAACAAAUUUGACAUUGAAUGGAAGUGGCAAAAGUACUUAGCAGAGUGUGGCGUUGAUAACAAUUAGCAGCUACAUGACCUUUUUUAGUACAAAUUUGACAUGUAGGAAUGUCAAUGCCAGAACCAAGAAUGCCAGGAUUAGAAGUAGGUGGAACCUAAUAAGGGCGUGGACUAGAUUGAUAAUGAUUACGUCCUCUGCCAUAACCCUUAAAAUUAAACCCCUGAUUGCCAAAGUAUCCUCCAGUAGAACCAUGAAAGCUACUGUGAUGACCAUUAAAUCCUCCAUUGAAACCAGAAGGAAAUUAAGAUGGUGGAGCAGACUUGGAGCUAGAAGGAUGAGAAUUAGAGUUACCUUUAUCAAGAGCAAGAGCCUUGCCAGGAGAUAUUUGAUGUUGAGCCAUCACUGCAGGAACAAACAGGGAAGCAGAAUAAGUUUGCUCAAGAAUGGCUUCUUCAGCUAGCAAUUGAGACCGAAAAUCUUUAAGGGAUAACACGUUGUCUCGGUCGCGAACAAUACACCUAAAGGUGUUAUAAUUAGAAGGAAGACCAUUGAGAGCCAAGAUUACAAUAUCAUCAUCUUCAAAAUAAACCCCUGCUACAGAAAGAUGGUCUCGAGCAUCUUUGAUCUUUUACAGAUAUUGAGACACAGAAUCUGAGCCCUUCUUGAUGGUUUGAAGCUCACUUUUCAUCUGAAAAAUAUGUGCCUUAGUAAUUGUGGAAAAUCUAUUCUUCAGUUGAAUCCACAUGUCAUGAGAGCUAACACAUUCAAUAACAUAGGAGAUUGCAGUUGAUGAGAGAGUAGCAAUAAUCAACUGCAUCAAUGUCCGGUCAUACAUUUUCCAAACCUGAUGAUCAUCAGUUUCAACACAUUCAAGGUCAGCAUCUGCAUCAAACCGAUUUGGACACUUUCUUGAUCCAUCAACAAAUCCUAAAAUACCAUAACUCUCAAGUAGAAUAUGCAUAUGAAAAUUCCAGAUGAGAUAAUUUGUGUCAUCCAGCUUGACUGUUACAGCUGUUGAAACUGUAGGAAGUAAACAGGUAAUAGGAGAUUGAACAAUUUAAAGUUGAGAAGUAGUCACCAUUUUAGAGUUCAAGAGAUAGCGAGGAAGAGAAUCACAUACGAUAGGCAUAGUCCCAGAUUUGAGAAGAGAGUUGAAGAAGAAUUUUUCAGUUUGACAAUAUAUCAAAUAGAUGAUAGGUAGAUCAAUUAUUAUGAAAGAAUUGGUUGAUUAAGGCGAUAAUAAUACCAGAAACAGAGAGUAGCAAGAUAUUAGAAGCAGAGAAAUCACAGGAUCACAAGAUAAUAACAAUCCUAAGCUCUGAUACCAUGAAAGCUAGCAAGAAUCAUCACAAAGAUGAACAGAGAAGUGAAUAGAAUUAGAGGGAGAUACUGCAAUGCAGAGGAAGAAGAAAAACAUUUCUGCAUAUAUUCACUUAUAUUUUUACCAACAUUGUUACAUACAUUCAUUUUAUAUGAACCAAGAUGAGAAGCUUGUUUACGUAAUCUAAUCAACAAUAACAGACUUUGUUAACUAUCUAACAAUAUUAACAAACUUUUUAACCAUUAUAUUCUUUAUUCUCUUGACAGGGCAGAAGCAGAGCCUUUGAUAUCUUGACAAAAGUAAAACACAAGGAAAUGCAUGCAUGCACACCACUAAUCUUUGAUUCUGGCGAGAACAGUGAUGACUACACUCUGAACCAAAUAGAAUUACAUUCCGAGAUGAAGAAAUUAAUAACACAGAGCAGUGCUAUAAAGCUACAUGUGAAACCAGAGAUUAAUAAGCAAUGCUGAAAAUUUUAUCAAGCAUAAGACGAGAGAAGCAUAGGACAUAUUUUUCCCACAAUUGAAUAUGUGAAUUGAGCACAGAUUUCCCUGUUGCAAACUGUUCCUAAUUUCUCAAAUGAUUAACUAGAAUACGAGUUGCACUUAAAAUUUUAAAGCAACAUAUAUGCUCUUGAUUUUUAGUGAAUUGCUGAAACAAACAUACAAGCUCGAUCACACCUCUAGAACAGAGUGACAGUUCAUGGUGACCUCAAAGACUGCAUCAAGUCCUCCAAGCUCUCGUAACUUUUCCCUAAAGCCCCCCCCAGUCUUCCUUAAUUACCAUGCCAGAUGUAUCUGAAUGAAUGCAACCCAUACAGUGAAAUGAAUAAGCAAUCAGAAAAGGAGAGAGAGAGAGUGAAAAAAUUUGUCACAAAACUAGAUAAUGGCGACCACAUAUCAAUAAUUCGAGAUAUGACGUGGGGCACUUUCAUCGUGAUUAUUGUUUGUCCAAUAAUGUUGGAUGUAUUAUUUCUUGUUAAGACUUUUUAGGUUGUGAAAAGUCCAAGAUGUAGUAUAAUAAAAUAAAUAUAACCUUUGAUUUUAUCAUUUAUAUUGAGCUGAAAUUUUGACAUACAAUUCUAAAGAUUUUGUGGUUAAAAUUUCAAGAUCUUAAAAAAAAGACCUUUAAAUAAGGAUUUAAAGUUACUAUGAGAUGGUCUUUAUUUACCUAUUUGGUAUUGUUUUUAUUUAUAUUAGGAAUUUUAAUUUAAUUAGUAUUUUAUUAUUAAAAAAUUCUAAUAAUAGAUUGAUUCUAUUAGUUAGGCAAGUUUUAAAUACAAUUUAUUUUUCUAUACAAAAUUUUAUAUCUAGAACAAAUAUAAAUAAAAAUAUUUAGUUUAUUUUUUGUUCGGGUAUUCAUAUUAUUAUUAAGAUUUUUUAAAAAUAUUUAGAGAUUUUUUUUUAUUUCGCUAUUGUGUUAGGACUAUAACCUUAAGGUUUGGAUGUUUGUGAAAGUGGAAGCGGUUACUUUUUAAAAUGUUUUUCACUUAGAAAUGCAUCAAAAUCAUAUAUAUAUUUUUUAUUUUUUAAAAUUAAUUUUUGACAUCAAAACAAUGCAAAAACACCAAAAAAUUAAUUUGAAAAAAAAUCAAAAAUUUUGAAAACCUCGAUCAAAAUGUUGUACCAAACACCCUCUUAGUUUUAUCUUAUUUUUAAAAAAUAAUUCUUGAUAUUAGCAAACAAAACAAUUUAAUAACACAAAAAAAUUAAUUUUAAAAAAUCAAAAUCUUAAAAAACUCUCGUCUAAAUGUUUGCUUUUAGUUUUAUCAUCGUUGCACUGCGUAAAGAUGCUAAAAAGAAAAUAGUUGAUAUAGCCACCUAAGUGCUGGUGGUGUUUCAGAGUGUAGUAGCGAUUGUUUUUUAAAGUGUUUUUUACUCGGAAAUGCAUUAAAAUAAUAUUUUUUUAUUUUUAAAAAAUUAUUUUUAACAUCAGCAUAUCAAAAUGAUCUGAAAAUACUGAAAAAAAUAUUAAUCUAAAUUAAAUAAAAAAAUAAAAAAAAAUCAAUCUCUUUUAAAAAUAUUUUUAAAAUGCAGAAACAAACAGGAUCUCUCAACCUGCUACAAAUAACUGCUGCAAUGGCCUUUCUUUAAUAUUUUACUUACACCAUUCUGCACAAUAUUUUCUUUUGUACAUCCAUGGAACCCUCUUUGCCUUCUACACAAAUUCAAAGCCCAUGCUAAAAACUACAAGGAAAUGAUCUCUACCUUUCUACAAGUUAAAGGCUUUUGGUACUUUCCGUCCUUCUUGGGAAGACCCAUCUCAGUUCAAGAACACUUCGAGCCUCAAUCCACUGAUAUAUUUGUCGUCAGCUUCCAAAAACGAAGGAAAUCUUUGGUUAAUGUUCUCUAAUAAGUACUAACACCUUUUCUCCUUCAACAGUGAAAUUUACGUGCCUUUCACACCUUUUUACGUUCGAACAUUUCAUUUGUUCUUGUGCUCUAAAUUCUAAAUUGAGUCUGUUUUUGUGAGUUCCAUUCUUCUAUUUAAAAGAUUAGAAAACGCAAGAUUGCAUCAAUGCUAAAUGCAAUUUCAAUAUCUGUGUGUGUGUCAAAUGCAUGGUGAUGUUACAUGAUGUGUUUGUUUUUACGUUUCAAAAAUAUUUUUUUAAAAUUAAAUUUUAUUUAUUUAUUUUUUAUUUUAAAUUAAUAUUUUUUAGUUUUUUCGGAUUAUUUUAAUUUACUGAUAUCAAAAUUAACUUUUUUAAAAUAAAAAAAAUAUUAUUUUAAUACAUUUCUGAGUAAAAAAUACUUUGAAAAGUAACUGCUACUACACUUCCAAAUAUACCCUUAAAAAAACAAAGUUAUGGAGUUGGAGGCUCUAAAUAUUCCUCAAAAUAUCAAGUCUUAAGGGCUCGGAGCUAUUAUCCAGUCUUAAAAUUUUUGCAUUUUAAAAAUAUUUUUAAAAAAAUGAAUAUUUUUUACUUUUUUUUAUUUUAAACUAUAUUUUUUUCUUUCUGUUUUUAUAUUGUUUUUAUGUAAAAAAUAAAUUUUAAAAAAUAUAAAAAUAUUUUUUUAAAAACAAUCACCAUACAAUAACAAAUAAAAUAUUAAUAUGAAAUAAAAUCUAAUUCUACCAGCAGACAGCUGAUAAGAAUACUAAAAAAGUGUAAAUUUUGACUUAAUUCAAUUAUUAGAAUUUGGGGCAGCGUAACAGUGUCAAAGAAAAUGUCAGAAAAGUAGGGCAAACAGUGCAAAUACCUUGGAUGAUGGUGACCAAAUAUUUGUAAUUUGAGACAUCUCGUUCUUGAAAAGAAAUAGUUAAUAGUGCCAAUAAUUUUUUUUUAUUAAUUUGAGGUGUUCAGACCAGUUUGCAUGCACCUCGACUAAUACUUACGGUUCUUGAAGUUAACGAAUAAAUAAGCCUCCAGUGGCCAUCAAUAUUAACAACUACAAGGCUCGAACUUGAGACCACAGGGGGGCAAACCCCUUGAUCCAAAACUCUUACCACUUGACCACCUACUAGAUGGUUAGUACCAAUAAUUAAUUUGCUCUCAACUUGCUACAAAUAGCUGCCAUGAUCACAUAUUCAAGAAACACUAGUUUAAGAGCUUGGGAUCAAGAGGUUUGCUCCCUCUGUAGUCUCAGGUUCAAGCCCUGUGGUUGCUCAUAUGAUGGCCACUGGAGGCUUACAUGGUCGUUAACUUCAGGGCCCGUGGGAUUAGUAGAGGUGCGUGUAAGCUGGCCCGGACACCCACGUUAAACUAAAAAAAAAAAAACACUAGUUUAUAAACCCUGAGGGGUAGCUCAACUGGUUAGAUUUUGAGUAUGUUUCCUAAUAAUCACGAGUUUGAGUUCUUUUAGGCCAACUGGAGGCUUACAUAGUUUUAAACUUCAGGACUCGUGAAAUUAGUAAAGGUACAUACAAAUUCAGUGGUGGAGCCAGAAAUUUUUAAAUGAGGAGGCAAAUUACUAACAAAUAUUUGAUAUUAUAUGCUAUACAUAUAUAUGUUAUAUAUAGAAAUGAAUUUGAAAUACAUGUGCCUCAAGUCAAGCAAAAUUAAUUUAAGAAUACUUUUAAAAUGAAAAAAACUUAUGUUAUAAUUGUUUUCUUCGAGAUUUUAUAUUUUAAAACUGCUUCAUAAUAAUUUUAUUUUUAAUUUCAUUAAAAAUAUAUUUCUCAAUAUAUACAACAAACUUUCAUUUAUCUAUUUCUAAAUCUUCCAAGUACUAGGAAAGUUGUUGACAACAAUUUUAUGCUGACAUAUGGUACAUAACAUCUAAAAUCAUAUCUUAAAAGAAUUGUCAUAAAUUGAAGUUGUUCUUACUGACUUGUUGUUUUGUACAAGUAGAUUAAAUAUAAAUAUUAAAUGUUUUUUUAAAUUUAUCUAUUAUGUCUCUAAUUUUUUUAGUUGUCUUAUACUUCAUUUUUAAUCAUUAGUAAAUUCAUUAUCAUCGUUUUUCAUAUGAAAUUCAUAACAAAACUUAUCAAUUCAUCAAAACUCAUUUCAAUUCAUAUCCAUUAGCAUAUAAUAUUACCCAUACACAUAUUAAUUCAACAAACCCAUAAAUUAUUAUAAACCCUAACAUUUUUAAUAACUAAUUUUUGGAGAUGUAGACCCAGUAUUUUUGGAGCUUCCAUAUCUAGUUGACCUAUCAGGAAGAGAUGAAGUUAACGUUUGGGAAUGCGGUGCAAACCAUGUUCCCCUAAAAUUAAAUUUUUUUUUGUUAAAAAUUAAUUUUUUGGUAUAUUUUGGAUCGUUUUGAUGCGCUGAUCUCAAAAAUAAUUUUUAAAAAAUAAAAAAACAUCAUUUUGAUGCAUUUCGGCACAAAAAAUACUUUGAAAAGCAACUGUAACCACACUCCUAUACAAGUAAAGUCUCUAACAGCACAAGUAUAAAAAAUAUAACUGCUGGGCAAACCAACUCUUUUCUCAAACCCAUCAGUUGCCUCAUGAUAUAUAUAUAUAUAUACACAUAUAUAUAUAUAUAUAUAUAUAUAUAUAUACACACACACACCAUGCAUAGAAUUCAUGGAUAAAAGAAAGGAAUUGGAUCUGAUUUGAGGUGGGGGGAUUGCCCCCUCUUGCCUUUAUGUGGCUCCGCCACUAUAUAAAUUAGUUUGGAUAUUUACAUUAAUUAAAAAAAAAAUACUGGUCUAGAAAAGCGAUCUACAAGGUGAUUAUUUAGUUGACUAAUUGAAUCUGUUUUUUAUAAAAAAAAUAUUUUAGAAGAUAAUUUUUAAUAAUUUUAGAUUUUUUUAUAUAUAAAUAUCAAAAAUAAAAUUAAAAAAAUAACAAAAUAUUAUUUUAAUAUAAUUUUAAAUAAAAAACACAUUUAAAAAAACUUAAUAGUAUACUCUCAACCAAGGUUGUCAAUUCCGUUUCGGUAGGUGUUUCGUUUUUUUAAUUGGAAUGGAAUGUUUCAGUUUCGGAGUGUUUCGGCGUGCCGUUCCGGGGUUGUACUGUUCAUAUAUAUAUAUUCAACAAACAUAAUUCAAAUUCAAGAUAAAUUAAUUAUAAAUUAUGCAAUACAAACACAAUGCCAAACAAAUAUAAUUUCAAAAUUUAAAAUAUUUCUAAAUAGUCAAGAUUAAAUAGAUCUUUACCUUAAAGUAAUUCAACUUAAACAAAAUAUCAAAAUAUUAUGAAAGUAAAAUGUUUUAACAUAAAUAUUUUAAAUAUAAAGUUAGGUCAAUGUUAUCAAGGCUAAUUGAAUCUAAAGCAUCCCUUGGUUUGCUCAAAUUUCUACAAAGUAUAAACAUGAAAAAAAAACAUGAAUAUAAACCUUAUAUAUUAGUGAUAAAUCUAAUUUUAAAAAAUUAAUAUCAUUGUUAAUGAAAAUAGUAAUAAUAAUUUUCAAUAUUAUUAUUAAUAUCAUUGUUAUUGAAAAUAGUAAUGAAAAAGAGCCUUUUAUAAUUGGGUGAUUUAAUUAAUUAAAUUGAACAAAAUUCAAUUUGAUUCAAUGGAUUUUCAAGAACGGAACGAAACAAGUGGAAUGAAACCGGAACGUUCCGGGUGGAAUUUAGCCGAAAAAUACAGAACAGACCGAGAUUUAAAAUAAAAUGAAAUUUAUUUUAUUUUUUAAAUUGGUAUGAAAUAUUUCGUUUAUUUCAUACGAAACAAAACAGAAUUGACAACUUGCUCUCAAGCACCCAAAAUAGAGGAUUCAAUUGUAUUGUGGGUUCCACACCAUUUAAAGCUUGCAAAGAAGGAUUUGAAACACAAUCACACUAAAGAUUUGCAAUGGAAUAUAAUAUAAAAUAAUACCCAAUGGCAUCAGCGGACAUGUAAUCAAUAAUAUUAAAAUACAGUAAAUUUUGAUUUAAUUCAAUUAUUGGAUUCUAGGCAGCGUGACAAUGUCAGAAAAUCUUGGAUGAUGGUGACCAAAUAUAUCAGUAAUUUGAGACAACACGUUCCCGAAAGGUAAUAGCUGAUGGUGCCAAAAAUUAAACCAGCUCUCAACUCGCUACAAAUAGCUGCCAUGGCCUUUCAUUCUACCUUAUAUUUCUUUUUUAACUUUCAUGGAAUCCUCUUUGCCUUCCUCCCAAAUCUUGGAUUCUGAUGGAAAUGCUGAGAGGAAAAAUGAAGCUAAAAAUUACAAUGAAGUGAUGUCCACCCUUCCAAAAGUUAAAGGCUUGAGGGGGGAUGAUUAUUACCUGUACCAAGGCUUUUGGUACGCUCCCUUCUUCUUGGAAAGACUCAUGUCUGUUCAAGAGCACUUCCAUCCUCAAUCCACUGAUAUAUUUGUCGCCAGUUUUCCAAAAACUGGCACAACUUGGCUUAAGGCCCUCACUUUUGCUAUUUUCACACGAUCCCGUUUAAGUGGUUCAACAACUAGUUCUUUACUUUCCAAGAUGCCACAUGACUGUGUUCCUUUUUUGAAUUAUAACCUUGCUCAAAACCCCAGUAAUCGGGACUUGACAAUUCCUCUGCUAUCUACUCAUGUUCCUUACAGUUGUUUACCUAAAUCUAUCAUUUCUUCUUGUUGCAAGAUUAUUUACAUUUGCAGGGACGCAAAGGAUGCUUUUGUUUCUUUGUGGUACUUUCAUGCCACGUUGCAAAGGUCGAAAAAUGUUGAGCCUCUUCCUCUGGAAGAGGCUUUUGAGCUGUUCUGCAAUGGAAUUGCAAAUUUUGGACCCUACUGGAACCAUGUUUUAGGGUACUGGAGAGCAAGCUUGGAGUUCCCCGAGAAGAUACUGUUCUUGACAUAUGAGGAAAUGAAGAAAGACACCGCUGCUCAUGUUAAGAAAUUAGCUGAGUUCAUGGGUUGUUCUUUCACCCUAGAGGAAGAGGAGGAAGGGGAGGUGCAAAAGAUAAUAGGCAUGUGUAGUUUUGAGAAGUUGAGCAACUUGGAGGUGAAUAAAAAUGGGAAGUGCCUUCUAGACAUAUCAAUUCCUAUUCCAAAUAGUAUAUUCUUCAGGAAAGGUGAGAUAGGCGACUGGGCAAAUCACUUGACACCUGAAAUGGGAGCACGUCUAGAUGACAUAAUGGAGCGGAAGCUCAAGGGUUCAGGCUUGAAGCUGCCCAGGUGACUGUGCCUGGGCCCCGUUUGCUUAUU
rnacentral:lncRNA from 1 species